rnacentral:lncRNA from 1 species
GACCAAGUAGUAUCAUGUUCCAUAUACUUCAAUACGUGCAACUGAAUACUUAUUAAGUAAAUGUACACAAAAAGUAUUGAAUGAAAUACCUCCAUACCUGGUAGUCAGGUUACACAAUGACAAUGGAGAAAAAGAUACCCACGUGACACACUUGAGAUCGGUGUAAUGACGACUGUGCUGUUGGUCUAGACCCGGGAGAUAAUAUACACAAGACUAUAAAUCGGUUGACAAUCAUGAUUGGUACUCGCUGACACGACUUUGGACUUUGCCACUUCAGAGCUGUGCAUGUUGCACCUUCAUGUAAUGAUGCCAUCUCGAGGCUGUAUAAACUGUACAUUGUGACAUAUCUUUUUAGACCUGCCACUUCAGAGCUGUGCAUGUUGCACUUUCAUGUAAUGAUGCCAUCUCGAGGCUGUGUCUUUUUAGAUCUGCCACUUCAGAGCUGUGUAUGUUGCACCUUCUUGUUAUGAUGCC